rnacentral:rRNA from 1 species
GACGAACGCUGGCGGCGUGCCUAAUACAUGCAAGUCGAACGGUCUUUUCUAUGAAAGCUUGCUUUCACUGAGAAGAUAGUGGCGGACGGGUGAGUAACACGUGGGUAACCUGCCCAUAAGAGGGGGAUAACAUCCGGAAACGGGUGCUAAUACCGCAUAGUUUUCUUGGUCACAUGACUGAGAAAGGAAAGACGGCCUUUGUGCUGUCGCUUAUGGAUGGACCCGCGGCGUAUUAGUUAGUUGGUGAGGUAAUGGCUCACCAAGACGAUGAUACGUAGCCGACCUGAGAGGGUGAUCGGCCACAUUGGGACUGAGACACGGCCCAAACUCCUACGGGAGGCAGCAGUAGGGAAUCUUCCGCAAUGGACGAAAGUCUGACGGAGCAACGCCGCGUGAGUGAAGAAGGU